rnacentral:rRNA from 1 species
AGUCGGACGAAAGGUUCCUUCGGGAACUGGAGAGUGGCGCACGGGUGAGUAACGCGUGGGGACCUACCUCUUAGUGGGGGAUAACGGUUGGAAACGACCGCUAAUACCGCAUACGCCCUUCGGGGGAAAGAUUUAUCGCUAAGAGAUGGACCCGCGUUGGAUUAGAUAGUUGGUGAGGUAACGGCUCACCAAGUCGGCGAUCCAUAGCUGGUUUGAGAGGAUGAUCAGCCACACUGGGACUGAGACACGGCCCAGACUCCUACGGGAGGCAGCAGUGGGGAAUAUUGGACAAUGGGGGCAACCCUGAUCCAGCCAUGCCGCGUGAGUGAAGAAGGCCUUCGGGUUGUAAAGCUCUUUCAGAUGCGAAGAUGAUGACGGUAACAUCAGAAGAAGCCCCGGCUAAUUUCGUGCCAGCAGCCGCGGUAAUACGAAAGGGGCUAGCGUUGUUCGGAUUUACUGGGCGUAAAGGGCACGCAGGCGGUCUUGCCAGUCAGGGGUGAAAGCCCGGGGCUCAACCCCGGAACUGCCUCUGAUACUGCAAGACUAGAGACUAGGAGAGGGUGGUGGAAUUCCCAGUGUAGAGGUGAAAUUCGUAGAUAUUGGGAGGAACACCAGAGGCGAAGGCGGCCACCUGGACUAGAUCUGACGCUCAGGUGCGAAAGCGUGGGGAGCAAACAGGAUUAAAUACCCUGGUAGUCCACGCCGUAAACGAUGAGUGCUAGUUGUCGGGAUUUCGAUUUCGGUGACGCAGCUAACGCAUUAAGCACUCCCCCUGGGGAGACCGGCCGCAGAAUAAAACUCCAAAGAAUUUGACGGG